ensembl:lncRNA
UGUGUGAUGAUGGAGAGCAUCAGUGUGACGUGUGCAGAGGUUCAGAGCUCAGGCGGGUUUGAGCUGAGAGUUCCUGCUGACAGACUCACUCUCUUCAGUCAGUCUGACUGUGAACCGCUCUGGUACUCACAGGAUGAUCGUCUGAUAGCAGAUCCAUCAGCUCCUCAAACACUGAUUGAUCCUGUUAUUUCUGUCUCAUCUGAUCGUCUCGUCACGUCUCAGUGUGUGAAUCUGAAUCACGAGAACACACACACACACACACACACACACUCUCACACACACACACACUCAUGA